rnacentral:rRNA from 1 species
UACGUAGGGUGCGAGCGUUAAUCGGAAUCACUGGGCGUAAAGCGCACGUAGGCGGAUUGCUAAGUCAGGGGUGAAAUCCUGGAGCUCAACUCCAGAACUGCCUUUGAUACUGGCGACCUUGAGUCCGGGAGAGGUGAGUGGAACUGCGAGUGUAGAGGUGAAAUUCGUAGAUAUUCGCAAGAACACCAGUGGCGAAGGCGGCUCACUGGCCCGGUACUGACGCUGAGGUGCGAAAGCGUGGGGAGCAAACAGG